AUGGCCGCCACCCCGACAUCCAAGACCUUGACACCUCCUCACACGAGAUCAGCCGCUACCCCGACCAAAGACAUGAGCGGAAAGGACCCGCCUUUCGCACCCGCGGACUGCCCCCAGUGCCGAGACCCAAAAGGCUGGCCAAGGCUGGCCUCCAUCACCCCGUCCUCGGCACCGGGCGCGAGACGAGCUUGGUCCUGCUGCCUGGCGCGAGACGAGCAUGGUCCUGCUGCCGGGUGCAAGACGAGCUCGGUCCUGCUGCCGGCGCGAGACGAGCUCGGUCCUGCUGCUGGGUGCGAGACGAGUGAUGGACCGUCGCUGGGGGAGGGCCAACCGUCGACAAAGAUAGCGGACGGACGCCCGAAGAGAAGGGUCGGAGGUCCACACAGGCCACACACCGACAUGCCGACGCCGGAUAAGUCCAGCCGCCGCCGUGAAUGA
rnacentral:rRNA from 1 species